UGACCGUGUGCCAAAGUAGCAUAAUCAAUUGUCUUUUAAUUAAAGGCUUGUAUGAAAGGUUGAAUGAGGUAUAGUCUAUUUUUAUUUAAAAUAAAAUGAAUUUUAAUUAUUAGUAAAAAUACUAAUAUAUUUUUAAAAGACGAGAAGACCCUAUAAAUCUUUAUUAUUAAUUUAAAAUUAAAUUUUUAGAAAAUUAUAAUUAUUUUUAAAUUAAUAAUUUUAUUGGGGUGAUAAUGAAAUUUAUAUAACUUUUAUUUAUAUGUUAAUAAUAAUACUUAAUUAAAUUGAUCCAUUAUUAUUGAUUAAAAAAUUAAGUUACUUUAGGGAUAACAGCGUAAUUAUUUUAGAGAGUUCUUAUCGAUAAAAUAGUUUGCGACCUCGAUGUUGAAUUAAGAGUAAUUUAAAUGUAGCAGGUU
rnacentral:rRNA from 1 species